CUGCUGCCUCCCGUAGGGGUCUGGUCCGUGUCUCAGUACCAGUGUGGGGGACCUUCCUCUCAGAACCCCUACGCAUCGUCGCCUCGGUGGGCCGUUACCCCGCCGACUAGCUAAUGCGACGCAUGGCCAUCCUAUGCCGGAGUCGCCUCCUUUGACCCCCUGGAGAUGUCUCCAAAUGGUGUUAUGCGGUAUUAGACGGAAUUUCUUCCGCUUAUCCCCCUGCAUAGGGCAGGUUCCAUACGUGUUACUCACCCGUGCGCCGG
rnacentral:rRNA from 1 species